rnacentral:rRNA from 1 species
UACGUAGGGUGCGAGCGUUAAUCGGAAUUACUGGGCGUAAAGCGUGCGCAGGCGGUUCGCUGUGUCCUAUGUGAAAGCCCCGGGCUUAACCUGGGAAUGGCAUGGGAAACUGGCGAGCUUGAGUGCGGCAGAGGGGGGUGGAAUUCCGCGUGUAGCAGUGAAAUGCGUAGAGAUGCGGAGGAACACCGAUGGCGAAGGCAGCCCCCUGGGUCGACACUGACGCUCAGGCACGAAAGCGUGGGGAGCAAACAGG